GUGACAUACCUCAGCCUGUGCCUGGCUGAACAUUGUGGAGUGAAGACUCACUGCCAGAGACUUGCAGCAUCCGUGUAACUCCACUCACAAAAUCAGGCAAUAUCUAACAGAACUCCAUGGCAGCCACAAGGAGCUGCUUACCGGUUACAUCCAGUUUAUAUUCAAGCUGGCCAAAGCGGAUAUUGGUGUGGUGCCCUUGUCCUGUCUACUGGAGUGUGUAGGCUCCAUUCCUGAUCUGUUGGGGGCCAAUUUUCGUCCCAGAACUGCCCUGGUUUAAGAAACUACUGAGCUGACUCGGAGGGGAAGAUCUGAGGGAUGUGGUG